GUGAGGAAUAUUGGUCAAUGGACGAGAGUCUGAACCAGCCAAGUCGCGUGAAAGAAGACGGUUCUAUGAAUUGUAAACUUCUUUUGUGCAGGAAUAAAGUGGGUUACGUGUAACCUUUUGUAUGUACUGUACGAAUAAGGAUCGGCUAACUCCGUGCCAGCAGCCGCGGUAAUACGGAGGAUCCGAGCGUUAUCCGGAUUUAUUGGGUUUAAAGGGUGCGUAGGUGGAUUGAUAAGUCAGCGGUGAAAGUUUGCAGCUUAACUGUAAAAUUGCCGUUGAAACUGUCGGUCUUGAGUGCAAAUGAGGUAGGCGGAAUGUGUUGUGUAGCGGUGAAAUGCUUAGAUAUAACACAGAACUCCGAUUGCGAAGGCAGCUUACUGGGAUGCAACUGACACUGAUGCACGAAAGCGUGGGUAUCAAACAGGAUUAGAAACCCCGGUAGUCC
rnacentral:rRNA from 1 species